AGGAAAAGCUCGAAAAUCAGCGUAACGCUGUUGGAGAUGAGAGGGCACAGCACAAUUUUGAGAGCCAAACAAAGGCGGGGCACAGAGCUGUUGCCUCGAGAUGUGUGGCCUCAGAAGGUCUUGUCGAGGCGAGUGAUGAAAGGGAGGAGGUUCCCGAGGAUACUGGAGCCGGAAGACGCGGCGAGGGUCCGGGUUAGCAAACCGGGCAGAGUCAGAGGCCCAGGACGCCGGGCCCUGGGGGCGCUGUCGCAGGGCGGCGGCGGAGGCCGGGGUGGUGGGCGCCCCGGGGUGGGGGGAGGCGGGAGUGCUCUCCCAGGUGGGCUUGGAGGGGCCCCGGCCCAGACACCCAGGGCCAGCCGGCGCACCCGCAUGAUGUUCUGAAAGCGUCCCCGCAGCCUGGUCGGUGGCUGGGGGAAGCUGGGCGUGGUUAGCCUGGCAGCCUGGCUUUGCGGACUCACCUCCGGGCCUCGUCCUCCAGUGCCUUCCCUCCCCAACUGAGGGGCUUGGCUGCACCCGCACGCGGUUUUCCAGGAACAGCGAUCCCGGAGUGGACUCUCCCGCAUCCAGGGGGACGUCAGCACUCUCGGCUUCCCCAUGGGGACACACUCACUGAGGUCACGCGACCCAAAACCAAAUGACCCACCACCACGACAGCCGCAUCGUUUUUAGUGGUUUGUCCGGGAGGUUUUAGAGUGAGAGAAUGAAGGGGGUGAGGCCUGAGGGAGGGAGGCGCAUGGAAGCCGCCGCAUCUGACUGUCCCAGGGUGUGCCCAGGCCCAGAGAUGAUGUCCAGACCCCUGAAGGGAGUGAAGCGGAGGCCCUGCUGGAGGCAAAGGAUUCAAGGAGAUUCAAAACCCGUGUCACUGCUGCCAUCUUCCUAGAAUCCCUUUAAAUCCUCAUGGAUUUGCUGACAUUGGGAGCAUCCUGAAAGAGUCCCCAUGCUAGGGUGGCUGCAGUAACAGGUACAAUGAGAAAUGAUGGUUCUCCCCACUCCAGAAAAAAUCAAAUCAGAUUGUGAAUUUAUUCCCUGACAUUAACACACGGCAUUACAGGAGCAUGUACAUCACAUGGUCAAUUUAUUGGCAUGAGGAUUAUGUCAUCGGGGAAUAAAUGGGAAAUUCUCAAGGUGGCCCAGGCCUGUAGGCUUCCAGUGAGAAAACUGGAGACCACACUCACCCGUCCCACUGCCGUUUCUUUGGGGCUGCCUGUGAUACUGGGUUAUUCCCCUUGCCGAGUUCCACUGUGCUUACCCUGUUGGAAUAUGAUGGUGGACUUGCCAGAGGAGAUGACCAUGAUUUUCAGGAACAGCAGCCCCUCCUUCCUGGUUGAGGCAGCCAGCAGGCACUCCUAUCCAUGAGCCACAGCUCAGCUAAGGCAAUCCAGUCCAGCUGCAUGCCCUCUCUCUGCUUCUGGGGAGGUAGGAAGGACCAGGGGCAUUCAUGCUUGUUUCUAGGGGGCCCUAACUGGAUCUCUGGAUCAAGACCUACUCAGGGGAGAAAGACUACUCUGGGUUCCAUGUUAGGACUGACGGGUGCAUCUUAACUGAGAUGCAGACAGUGGACAAUUCGAACUCUGACCUGAGAGCAAGCCCCAGCCUUGGUGCUCAUAAAUGCUCCGCUUGGUCCUUCACAUUUGUGUUCCACACAGGAGAAGCCAAGUUGUGAGCAGUGCACCUUCACAAGCAAAGCCUCGACUGAAAUCUUCUCUAACAAUUGGCUGGUCACUCCUGAGCGUAAUCUACCCCUUCAGAACACUGGGGAUGAAUUUAGAGACAUCGAAGCCUCCUGAUGAGAAAUACGUGUCCACUCACCGGGAGAACUGAAAUACCAGGAGAUUUCUACACAAAUCUCACAGAGUCCUUCUGGCGUCCUAGGGGUUUGCUCACAUAUAAGGGACUUUCUGGUAGGAAGAGAGUCUCUUUACAUUCUUUAUUAUAUGAUCCUGGUGGCUUUGUAGAGAGAUGGUACAGCUGACAGAUCAUGUCCUGUGGGGCCAGGGAGUUGUGUGUGUGUGAAUGCUCUGUGAACUUGGGCAAACUACUUAGCCUCUCUGAGCCUUAGCUGCAUCAGCUUUGAAAAACAGGAUGAUAAAAUGGAGUCACCUUAUUUGACUUUUAUAAAUACACUUACACAAUUACACAAGUUGUGGGGAUGGGAAGAGAGAGUUGGGGAAAGAGAAAUGAGAGAGAGAGAGAGAGAGAAUGAAUGAUAAACAAUUUAAACAACAGUGGGGUGUAGACCAACGCCCAGCCUGGCAAGGGUGAGCCCAGAGAGCCUUCCCUCCUGGCUAUUGGCAGCCUCCGCAUGGAAGCCUGUCGUUGACUUCUUAAUGAUGAGAGAUGUUCUGGGGGCACUCCAGGAUUCUUGGACAUGGGAUCGUCUUCACAGCUGUGUCUAUUGAAAGCUGAAGUUUCAGUCUCCCCUGCCCCCUGCCCCCUGGAGUGGCUUCCCAGGGGAAAUUCAAGGGCACCUGUGACUGCAUGGCUGCUUUCCUUUCCUUUACUCAAUGCCGUCCUUUGGUGACAGCCGUGUCUCAUGCCAGGAUACAUGAGGUGCUCUAUAGUAGUAUGUUUUCCCUCCUGGGAGGUAAUUUUAUUUAAAUGUGAAGUCAAAAGGAUCACUAAAUAGAACCAUGAGGCAACCACUCUGGGCACCUGCCUGGUGAUAUCCACAAGAGCUGACCACAGGUGCCCCCUGUGCCCAGCAAGUCCUUGGCUGGGCAGUCACACAACAGGCAUGGGGAUGUGUGGCCACCAAGCCCUCCAGGGCAGUGCUAUUUGUAAUAGUCCCAAAUGGGAGAGAUGGCAAACGCCCGCCAAUGGGGCAGCAUGGAUAAAUGGAUGCUGCACAGCAACGGCGAUGAGUGAGCCCCAGCACCCGUGAGCUCACCAGUGUAAUAUUGGGUGGAAGAAGCCAGGAGGAAGGGCAUUCACAUUCUGUGAUUCCAGCUACACUAUGUUUAAAUAUGGGCAGAGCUAGGCUGUGGUGCUGGAAGCCAGGACAGUGGGAUCCUUGCAUGGGGGUGAUGGUGCUGGUAGGUUCUGGUAAUUUCCUCUUCUUGAUCUGGGUGUAAACAUUUUGUGAAAAUUCAAUGAGCUGUACAUUUAUGACUGGUACAUUUAUGACUUUGUAUGAAUAUUAUACUUUCAUAAAACUACUUUAAAAUAUGA
ensembl:lncRNA novel transcript